rnacentral:rRNA from 1 species
GACGAACGCUGGCGGCGUGCUUAACACAUGCAAGUCGAACGGUGAAGCGCCUUCCUUUUUGGUGGGUGUGGAUGAGUGGCGAACGGGUGAGUAACACGUGAGUAACCUGCCCCCUUCUUCUGGAUAACCGCAUGAAAGUGUGGCUAAUACGGGAUAUUCUGGGUCUGUCGCAUGAUGGGUCUGGGAAAGAUAUAGUUUCGGUGGGGGAGGGGCUCGCGGCCUAUCAGCUUGUUGGUGGGGUGAUGGCCUACCAAGGCGGUGACGGGUAGCCGGCCUGAGAGGGUGGACGGUCACACUGGGACUGAGACACGGCCCAGACUCCUACGGGAGGCAGCAGUGGGGAAUAGUGCACAAUGGGCGCAAGCCUGAUGCAGCGACGCCGCGUGAGGGAUGGAGGCCUUCGGGUUGUGAACCUCUUUCGCCAGUGAAGCAGGCCUGCCUCGUUUGUGGGUGGGUUGACGGUAGCUGGAUAAGAAGCGCCGGCUAACUACGUG